UUGAAUAAUAAGUUUGAUAAAAAUAAAUUCUUUAUCGAAAAUAUUUAGGCUAUUUGACUGAAAUAUAAAAAAUGCGUACCACGAGCAUCGGUAGUUCGAAGUGAGGAGCUGCAUAGCCGCAAGGCUACAAAGUCCGCUUUGUUAAGCGGAUGCUUUAUAUUAAUUACGAGCAGGAUCUGUAUGUGGCCGCAGUCAACAGGAAGCUGAGACCUAUAUCUGGUGUGCUUCAAGCUUCCCAAUGCCGAACUUAAGUGAAACGAACCAGCACAAGGGCACCCGAAAAAAAAAAUAACAUAAAAAAAAACUUAAAAGUUGCUAUAAUUGUACAUAGUUUAUGUUUUUCAUUGUGAAUACAUCAAUGUUACAUUAAAUAUCAUUGUUCAGAACAAUAAAAACACUGUGUUUGUCAUUUUCAUUCAUUGUUAUGCAUCUUAACAGCAAUUUUUCAGGCAUUUUUUAUAAAUUUAGAAGUCACUGACAAUGUCUUCCAUAGUAAAAUUAUUGUCGAUGGUAGACAAAAGACGUUGAGACUACUGCAGCUGCUGGGACUAUUGCGACUGUUGCUGGAACUGGUACCGACGAUGAAUUGUUGCCUCUAAGCAGCUCCGUGGAAACUCUUGGAACAACAUUACUGCAUGGCUCAACAAUCAACUGGAAAGUUCAGAAAGCUCCAAAGGGAUUGGUAGAUUUGCCUCUGCGGGAAUGCCAAGAUACGAACGAUUCAGCGAUUGCGACAUCGAUCGGGCAAACAAGCCAACACAAUUGAAAAGCUGCGUACAUACACAUGUCUUGUGGUUAACAGGAAAUGAUUCCAAUAAAUAAACAAAAAGAAUAAAUCUUAAUUUAAUUCAAUUUAAUCUGUUUACGGUAUUUUAGAUGUGAAAAUGAUCAAAAUAAACAAAAAGAGUAAAAACUCAA